rnacentral:rRNA from 1 species
AACAGCCUGAAAGGGUUGCUAAUACCGCAUGUGAUCGAAAGGGAUUAGAAGCUUUUGAUUAAAGGAGAAGUCCACUUUGGGAGGGGCCUGCGUCCCAUCAGCUAGUUGGUAGGGUAACGGCCUACCAAGGCGAAGACGGGUAGGGGACCUGAGAGGGUGACCCCCCACAAUGGAACUGAAACACGGUCCAUACACCUACGGGUGGCAGCAGUAGGGAAUAUUGCACCAUGGGCGAAAGCCUGAUGCAGCAACGCCGCGUGAGUGAUGAAGGCCCUCGGGUCGUAAAACUCUUUUCAAGAGGAAGAGGAAGGACGGUACUCUUGGAAUAAGCCUCGGCUAACUACGUGCCAGCAGCCGCGGUAACACGUAGGAGGCGAGCGUUAUUCGGAUUUACUGGGCGUAAAGCGCGUGUAGGCGGCUUAUUAAGUUGGAUGUGAGAGCUCCUGGCUUAACUGGGAGAGGACGUUCAAAACUAGUAAGCUUGAGUACGAGAGAGGAAAAUGGAAUUCCGGGUGUAGUGGUGAAAUGCGUAGAUAUCCGGAGGAACACCAGUGGCGAAGGCGAUUUUCUGGCUCGAGACUGACGCUCAGACGCGAAAGCUAGGGUAGCAAACGGGAUUAGAGACCCCGGUAGUCCUAGCUGUAAACGAUG